AUUUCAGGCGACUCCGAUUCUUCGGCAGUUAAACGGAAGUGCCCGCCCUACCAACAAGAUGACGACGACGACGAUGGCGGCGCCUAUUCAAACUCUCACAACGAAAUCAACUCAUGGAACAGCCUUUCCGAGGUUCGUGAAGAGAGCUGAUCUGGUUUUGUGAAAGAAGGGCGAGAAAGAUUAUGUGGGGAUCAGAUUGUCCAUGGCGACCUAGGAGGAGCAGCACCCUCUCAGGUUGCUCCGGUCUAGUUGUGUGAAGCAACACGCAAGGUCUGCUACUGCUGUUGUGCUCCCUUGAAUGAUCUGGUGAAGGACAAUUUGGUCCAUAGGAGGAACACGCCUAGGAGAAGAGAGGGCUCAUUCCACUUGUUUGGAAGACAAGACGAUGAAGCAUGGUGGUUAUCUGGAUAAUCUGCCUUGUGUUUUGGUUGUACUUUGUACCUAGUUAUAUUGUAUUCAGUAGUAGUCAGCACAUUCUGGAGCAGA